rnacentral:rRNA from 1 species
AUUGAACGCUGGCGGCAUGCCUUACACAUGCAAGUCGAACGGCAGCAUGAUCUAGCUUGCUAGAUUGAUGGCGAGUGGCGAACGGGUGAGUAAUACAUCGGAACGUGCCCUGUAGUGGGGGAUAACUAGUCGAAAGAUUAGCUAAUACCGCAUACGACCUGAGGGUGAAAGUGGGGGACCGCAAGGCCUCAUGCUAUAGGAGCGGCCGAUGUCUGAUUAGCUAGUUGGUGAGGUAAAGGCUCACCAAGGCGACGAUCAGUAGCUGGUCUGAGAGGACGAUCAGCCACACUGGGACUGAGACACGGCCCAGACUCCUACGGGAGGCAGCAGUGGGGAAUUUUGGACAAUGGGCGAAAGCCUGAUCCAGCAAUGCCGCGUGUGUGAAGAAGGCCUUCGGGUUGUAAAGCACUUCUGUCCGGAAAGAAAUGGCUCUGGUUAAUACCUGGGGUCGAUGACGGUACCGGAAGAAUAAGGACCGGCUAACUACGUG